GCCAGCAGUGAUAGCACGUUGGACACAACAGUUCCCGGUGGAACACUAAAGUUAGGCUACAUUUCGCGUGGUUGGUAACCGGAUGGGUGGCCAUCAGGACAAUCGAAUGCUGUUGGCU
rfam:Asian citrus Psyllid, Diaphorina citri - Florida Strain, whole genome shotgun sequence.